rnacentral:misc_RNA from 1 species
AGUCGUAACAAGGUUUCCGUAGGUGAACCUGCGGAAGGAUCAUUACCAAUCCAAAUACAUCUUUUCCUGUGAAUAUAAAGAUUGUUUUUAAUACUUGGGUAGUAUUUAAAGGACUACUUUAUAUAUUACCCAAGUAUUUAUAUAAACACCUUUUAAUAUCUAUAUAAAAUUGUUUGAUUUUUAAAAUCAAAACAACAAAAUAAAAAAUUACAACUUUUAGCGGUGGAUCUCUUGGCUCAU